rnacentral:rRNA from 1 species
AGAGUUUGAUCCUGGCUCAGGACGAACGCUGGCGGCGCGCCUAACACAUGCAAGUCGAACGAGCGAGAGAGAGCUUGCUUUCUCGAGCGAGUGGCGAACGGGUGAGUAACGCGUGAGGAACCUGCCUCAAAGAGGGGGACAACAGUUGGAAACGACUGCUAAUACCGCAUAAGCCCACGGGUCGGCAUCGACCAGAGGGAAAAGGAGCAAUCCGCUUUGAGAUGGCCUCGCGUCCGAUUAGCUAGUUGGUGAGGUAACGGCCCACCAAGGCGACGAUCGGUAGCCGGACUGAGAGGUUGAACGGCCACAUUGGGACUGAGACACGGCCCAGACUCCUACGGGAGGCAGCAGUGGGGAAUAUUGCACAAUGGGGGAAACCCUGAUGCAGCGACGCCGCGUGGAGGAAGAAGGUCUUCGGAUUGUAAACUCCUGUUGUUGAGGAAGAUAAUGACGGUACUCAACAAGGAAGUGACGGCUAACUACGUGCCAGCAGCCGCGGUAAAACGUAGGUCACAAGCGUUGUCCGGAAUUACUGGGUGUAAAGGGAGCGCAGGCGGGAAGACAAGUUGGAAGUGAAAUCUAUGGGCUCAACCCAUAAACUGCUUUCAAAACUGUUUUUCUUGAGUAGUGCAGAGGUAGGCGGAAUUCCCGGUGUAGCGGUGGAAUGCGUAGAUAUCGGGAGGAACACCAGUGGCGAAGGCGGCCUACUGGGCACCAACUGACGCUGAGGCUCGAAAGUGUGGGUAGCAAACAGGAUUAGAUACCCUGGUAGUCCACACCGUAAACGAUGAUUACUAGGUGUUGGAGGAUUGACCCCUUCAGUGCCGCAGUUAACACAAUAAGUAAUCCACCUGGGGAGUACGACCGCAAGGUUGAAACUCAAAGGAAUUGACGGGGGCCCGCACAAGCAGUGGAGUAUGUGGUUUAAUUCGACGCAACGCGAAGAACCUUACCAAGUCUUGACAUCCUGCGACGAUGCUGGAAACAGUAUUUUCCUUCGGGACGCAGAGACAGGUGGUGCAUGGUUGUCGUCAGCUCGUGUCGUGAGAUGUUGGGUUAAG